rnacentral:rRNA from 1 species
UACGUAGUGGGCAAGCGUUGUCCGGAUUUAUUGGGCGUAAAGAGCGUGUAGGCGGCCAGACAAGUCUGCUGUGAAAACUCGAGGCUCAACCUCGAGCUGUCGGUGGAAACUGUCUGGCUAGAGUCCGGAAGAGGAGAGUGGAAUUCCUGGUGUAGCGGUGAAAUGCGCAGAUAUCAGGAAGAACACCUAUGGCGAAGGCAGCUCUCUGGGACGGUACUGACGCUGAGACGCGAAAGCGUGGGGAGCGAACAGG